rnacentral:rRNA from 3 species
UUCGUAGGUGAACCUGCGGAAGGAUCAUU